CCUACGGGAGGCUGCAGUGGGGAAUAUUGCACAAUGGGGGAAACCCUGAUGCAGCCACGCCGCGUGAAUGAAGAAGGAAUUCGGUUUUUUAAACUCUAUCAUCAGGGGAAAAAAAGACGGUACCUGAGGAAGAAGCCCCGGCUAACUACGUGCCAGCAGCCGCGGUAAUACGUAGGGGGCAAGCGUUAUCCGGAUUUACUGGGUGUAAAGGGAGCGUAGACGGCGAAGAAAGUCUGAAGUGAAAGCCCGCGGCUUAACCGCGGGACUGCUUUGGAAACUUUUUUGCUGGAGUACCGGAGAGGUAAGCGGAAUUCCUGGUGUAGCGGUGAAAUGCGUAGAUAUUAGGAGGAACACCAGUGGCGAAGGCGGCUUACUGGACGGUAACUGACGUUGAGGCUCGAAAGCGUGGGGAGCAAACAGGAUUAGAUACCCGGGUAGUC
rnacentral:rRNA from 1 species